UCCUACGGGGGGCAGCCGUGGGGAAUAUUGGGCAAUGGGCGCAAGCCUGACCCAGCGACGCCGCGUGAGGGAAGACGGUCUUCGGAUUGUAAACCUCUUUCAGCAGGGAAGACAAAAGGACGGUACCUGCAGAAGAAGCCACGGCUAACUACGUGCCAGCAGCCGCGGUGAUACGUAGGUGGCAAGCGUUGUUCGGAAUGACUGGGCGUAAAGGGUGUGUAGGCGGUGUAGCAAGUUAGAAGUGAAAUACCUAGAGCUUAACUCAGGUGCUGCUUCUAAAACUGCUAUACUUGAGUGCAGUAGAG
rnacentral:rRNA from 1 species